GACGAACGCUGGCGGCGUGCUUAACACAUGCAAGUCGAACGGAAAGGCCCUGCUUUGGUGGGGUGCUCGAGUUGCGAACGGGUGAGUAACACGUGAGUAACCUGCCCUUGACUUUGGGAUAACUUCAGGAAACUGGGGCUAAUACCGGAUAGGAUCUCCUGCUGCAGGGUGGGGGUUGGAAAGUUUCGGCGGUUGGUGAUGGACUCGCGUCUUAUCAGCUUGUUGGUUGGGUAGUGGCUUACCAAGGCUUUGACGGGUAGCCGGCCUGAGAGGGUGACCGGACACAUUGGGCUUGAGCUGCGGCACAGACUACACCGGGAGGCAGGAGUGGGGAAUAGUGUACAAUGGGCGGAAGCAUGAUGCAGCAAAGCCGUGUGGGGGAUGUGGGCAAGGGGGUUGUAAACCGCUUUCGCCUGUGACGAAGCGUGAGUGACGGUAAUGGGUAAAGAAGCACCGGCUAACUACGUG
rnacentral:rRNA from 1 species